UGGGGAAUCUUCCGCAAUGGACGAAAGUCUGACGGAGCAACGCCGCGUGAGUGAAGAAGGUUUUCGGAUCGUAAAACUCUGUCUUUUGGGGCGAACGUGAGUAUGGUGAACAAUCAUAGUCAGUGACGGUACCAAAGGAGGAAGCCACGGCUAACUACGUGCCAGCAGCCGCGGUAAUACGUAGGUGGCAAGCGUUGUCCGGAAUUAUUGGGCGUAAAGAGCGCGUAGGCGGGAUAGUCAGUCUGUUGUAAAGUGCGGGGCUCAACCCCGUGAUGGCAAUGGAAACAGCUAUUCUUGAGUGCAGGAGAGGAAAGUGGAAUUCCCAGUGUAGCGGUGAAAUGCGUAGAUAUUGGGAGGAAUCACCAGUGGCGAAGGCGACUUUCUGGACUGUGUCUGACGCUGAGGCGCGAAAGCCAGGGGAGCGAACGGGAUUAGAUACCCCGGUAGUCCUGGCCGUAAACGAUGGGUACUAGGUGUGGGAGGUAUCAACCCCUUCCGUGCCGGAGUUAACGCAAUAAGUACCCCGCCUGGGGAGUACGGUCGCAAGACUGAAACUCAAAUGAAUUGACGGGGUCAUAGCUGUUUCCUG
rnacentral:rRNA from 1 species